rnacentral:rRNA from 1 species
UACGAAGGGGGCUAGCGUUGCUCGGAAUGACUGGGCGUAAAGGGCGCGUAGGCGGAUGGCACAGUCAGAUGUGAAAUUCCUGGGCUCAACCUGGGGGCUGCAUUUGAUACGUGUGGACUAGAGUGGGGAAGAGGGUCGUGGAAUUCCCAGUGUAGAGGUGAAAUUCGUAGAUAUUGGGAAGAACACCGGUGGCGAAGGCGGCGACCUGGUCCUUGACUGACGCUGAGGCGCGAAAGCGUGGGGAGCAAACAGG